rnacentral:rRNA from 1 species
GAUGAACGCUGGCGGCGUGCUUAACACAUGCAAGUCGAACGAAGCAUUUAGAACAGAUUAUUUCGGUAUGAAGUUCUUUAUGACUGAGUGGCGGACGGGUGAGUAACGCGUGGGUAACCUGCCUUGUACUGGGGGAUAGCAGCUGGAAACGGCUGGUAAUACCGCAUAAGCGCACGGUGCUGCAUGGCACAGUGUGAAAAACUCCGGUGGUAUAAGAUGGACCCGCGUCUGAUUAGCUAGUUGGUGAGAUAACAGCCCACCAAGGCGACGAUCAGUAGCCGACCUGGGAGGGUGACCGGCCACAUUGGGACUGAGACACGGCCCAAACUCCUACGGGAGGCAGCAGUGGGGAAUAUUGCACAAUGGAGGAAACUCUGAUGCAGCGACGCCGCGUGAGUGAAGAAGUAAUUCGUUAUGUAAAGCUCUAUCAGCAGGGAAGAUAGUGACGGUACCUGACUAAGAAGCUCCGGCUAAAUACGUGCCAGCCGCCGCGGUAA